GAUGAAGAACGUAGCGAAAUGCGAUAAGUAGUGUGAAUUGCAGAAUUCAGUGAAUCAUCGAAUCUUUGAACGCACAUUGCGCCCCUUGGUAUUCCAUGGGGCAUGCCUGUUCGAGCGUCAUUUGUACCUUCAAGCUCUGCUUGGUGUUGGGUGUUUGUCUCGCCUCUGUGUGUAGACUCGCCUUAAAACAAUUGGCAGCCGGCGUAUUGAUUUCGGAGCGCAGUACAUCUCGCGCUUUGCACUCAUAACGACGACGUCCAAAAGUACAUUUUUACACUCUUGACCUCGGAUCAGGUAGGGAUACCCGCUGAACUUAAGCAUAUCAAUAAGCGGAGGA
rnacentral:misc_RNA from 1 species